CUUUUUUUUUUUUUUUUUUUUUUUUUGCUAUUUUAGGGCCACACUCAUGGCAUAUGGAGGUUCCCAGGAUAGGGGUUGCAGCUGCUGACCUACACCACAGCCACAGCAAGGCAGGAUCAGGGCCAUAUCUGUGACCUACACCAUAGCUCACAGCAACACCAGAUCCUUAACCCACUGAGCAAGGCCAGGGAUUGAACUCACAUCCUCAUGGAUCCUAGUCAGAUUUGCUAACCUCUGAGCCACAAAAGGAACUCCUUUUCUUUUUUUCUUUUUUGGCUGCAUUCACAGCAUUCGGAAGUUCCCAGGCCAGGAAUCGAAUCCACACCAGAGCAGUGACCCAAGUCAUUGUAGUGACAAUGUUGGGUUGUCACUGGACUGUAGUGACAACUCAUUGAGCCACAUGGAAACACCAGAAAUGUUCCCAUUUUUUAAAAGUUAGUGAUUGACUCCAAUUUAUAGGCAUAUUUGCCCUGUGUGCCUCUAGCUCAUGAAUUGACUCCUGCUCCAAGCUGGCAUUUAAACAGGAAACCUGUUAUCAUUCUUCCAUCUCCACUCCUUGGCUCCCAAACUUGGAGGAUAAAGAUGUUUUUUAUCUUAAAAACUAGAGGUUCUUCAAAGUAGAUGGAAAAAACUGCUGACAUCUCCCUGCCAUGCUUUUGGACCAUCUCUGCCUUAGAGAAGUUCAACAGUCCAACUGUUUCCAUCCUAAUUUCUUCUUUGCCUGCAGCCUUCUAAAAGCUCCAGUUGCUUCUGUGGCUUUUGCUAUAAGGAUAGGAGAGUCCAAGCCUUCAAUGUACUAUUCCUUUCCUCCUCUCUACAUUAGAUUCCAGACAAAGUUUCAGAAAAAACAACCUUAGAACCAGAGGCUUUUGAGCUGGACAUGACCUGACUGAUCGUCUCAUUCAGUUGUUCCUCAAACUAGGGUUCCAAGGAGGGUUCUGGCAGUUUUGCAAACAUUAGCAUCAAAUUCCAUUUUUAAAAUAUUUUAAACUAUAAUUUUUAAAAUGCAGGUUGGGGAGUUCUCAUUGUGGCUCAGUGGGUUAAGAACCUGACAUAGUGUCUAUGAGGACGCAGGUUCUAUCCCUGGCCUUGCUCAGUAGGUUAAGGAUCUGGCAUUGCCACAAACUGCGAUGUAGGUCUCAGAUGAGGCUCAGAUCCAGCAUUGCUGUAGCUGCGGCACAGGUCGCAGCUGCAGCUCUGAUUUGACCCCUAGUCUGGGAACUUCCAUAUGCUGCAGUUGCAGCCAUAAAAAGAAAAAAGUUUUUAAUUAAAAAAAUAAAAUGCAGGUUGGGCAGCAGGGUUUAAGGUGUUGGAGAUAACAGCGUGGGCUUCUCCUGCCAUUUCCAUUUAACUUAGAUUGUGCGGGGAGCCUUUGAAAAAAUAGCUACUCUUUACCACUAUAUCUCUGUGAAUCAGGCUUUUACCCAAGGAAGAAAUAGUGGAAAUGACUAAGACCUCAUCUACAACCUCUGGCUUAAAAUGUGGGCGUCCAUCUCAACAGCUUUGGUGAGAAUCAAUUGCUUUGUACAUAAAUAUUAAUUCAAAUAUAGGAAAGAAAUUAUACUGAUAAAAUGUUACUCAGAAUUGUUGCUUCCAUUGGGAUUUUCGUAGUGUUUUUGUAGUGAGUUUUCAUUUGAGAAGGAGUUUGGGUGCUCUGUUUGACAAGCACUGUGCAUUGCAGUGGAGUGACUUGCCUGAGGUCUCCCAGCUCUGGUGGAGUCAGAGUGACACCGUGUUUAUUGUGUUAACAGGACUAUAUUAACAUGCUCUCCAAACUGGGACACUUUUUGAGAGUGAAAGGGAGUACUCUUAACCGUGACUCUGGGACAACUACCGUAAACUAGACUCUCCCAAGACAAAUGGAAUAUGCCCACUCUGGUUGCAGCAGGAGUUAACGUAUAUUAAAUUCUAGAGUUUUUUUUUAAUUGAGAUGUAAAUGACAUGUAACAUUAUAUUAGUGUCAGGUAUACAACAUAAUGAUUUGAUACUUGUAUAUACUGUGAAAUGCUCACAAUAAGUCUAGUUAACAUCAUCACCACAGGUGGUUACGAUUCUUUUUUUGUGAUAAGAACCUAAGACCUGUUCUCUUAGCAACUUUAAAAUCAAAUGUGCAAUGCAUUAUGAUUAGCUAUAGUCACAAUAUUUACAUUACACCUCCAGGACUUAUUUAUCAUAAUUUUUUUUGGUGAGAAAUCAACUUCUUCCUUAAGUAGUUGCCUAAAUAAUAGUAAUACAUUUCCAUGGCAAGCAAAUCAAGAACAGAAGAAUAAGGAGGACAUAAGAUAAAAAUUAGAGGUAGUGUGAUAACAGUAACCCUGUUUGCCAGGGACUAUCCCAGUUUAAAAAUGAAAGUCCCACAUCCUGAUGACACUUCAGUCAUUGGCAAAUCAGGACAGCUGGUCACCCAAACAGCUUUUUUUUUUUUUUUUUUUUUUUGAUUUUGCAUAUGACAUGGGGAAGUUCCUGGGCCAGGGACUGAACCGAAGCCACAGCAGUGACCUGUACCACAGCUGGAUCCUUGACCCUGGGCCACCAGGGAACUCCCAGACAGCUCUUAAUUUCCGAAUCCCCCUUCACUCCCUGCUUCAAGAGAUGUACCUUUUAACCAACUUCACCCUUUUCACCUCCCCUCCUCACUAGGCAACCACCAGUCUGUUUUCUUUAUUUAUGAGUUUAGGGGUUUUUUUUAGUUAAUAUUAUUUGAAUUAUUUAAUAUUAUUUGAGUUUAUUUAUUCAUUUACCUAACUUGCAAAGGCUCAAGCCCACAGCAAAGUUGCAAUAUUGAGGACAAUGAACACAUAUUUACUCAAUCUGAGUGUUCCUGGGGUUGCCCUAUUGCUGCCAGUCUCCUGCUAAACCAAUCAAAAGUGACAUCUGGGAACAGGGUAAGGCAAGUGGGGUACUCAACUCAGACACAAAAUUUAAGAGGCACCCAAAAAACUCAAUCAUCAAAAUAAAUAUUGCAUUGUUAUAUAUUUUUUAGGGAGUUUCCACAUACUUUUUUUUCUUUGCGCCACAUACUUUUUAAAUAAAAUGAAUAAAAAUGCAAGAUGAAAAAAAUACCAACAUUUCAAAUAAAAAUGGGAUCUGAUCUUGCACUUGCACAAAUUUUCCUCACUCACUUCACUCUAAUUCCAACACUGGUGAUAUCAAGAUACUUCUUCCCUAAAUAUAUUGGCAAGCAUUUUUAACGAAUAAAGCCAUUCUCCUACAUGACCACACACACCUGCCAAAACUAACAAUCAUUAUUUGAUAUCUUUUAAUAGGCAUUCUUGGGAGUUCACUGGUGGUCUAGUGGUAAGGACUCAGUGCUUUCACUUCUGCAGCCCGUGUUUGAUCCCUGGUCUGGGAAGUGAGAUCCCACAUCAAGCCAUUGCUGCGGCCAAGUAGUAAUAAUAACAGGCAAUUCUAAUUUUCCUAAUUAGCCUGAAAACAUUCCUAAUUAGCUGUUUAUUUCAAACUAGGACUCAAUUAAGAUCCCUUCACACAUUGCAUUGCAUUCCGUUGUUUUGUCUCUGUUUCUUAUAUUCUAGAGCAGGAGUCAGCAAACCAGUCUGCUUUUGUAAAUAAAGUUUUAUUGGUUC
rnacentral:lncRNA from 1 species